AUUGAACGCUGGCGGCAUGCCUUACACAUGCAAGUCGAACGGCAGCACGGGUGCUUGCCCCUGGUGGCGAGUGGCGAACGGGUGAGUAAUACAUCGGGACAUGUCCUGUAGUGGGGGAUAGCCCGGCGAAAGCCGGAUUAAUACCGCAUACGAUCUACGGAUGAAAGCGGGGGCCCUUCGGGCCUCGCGCUAUAGGGUUGGCCGAUGACUGAUUAGCUAGUUGGUGGGGUAAAGGCCUACCAAGGCGACGAUCAGUAGCUGGUCUGAGAGGACGACCAGCCACACUGGGACUGAGACACGGCCCAGACUCCUACGGGAGGCAGCAGUGGGGAAUUUUGGACAAUGGGCGAAAGCCUGAUCCAGCAAUGCCGCGUGUGUGAAGAAGGCCUUCGGGUUGUAAAGCACUUUUGUCCGGAAAGAAAUCCUUGGCCCUAAUACGGGCGGGGGAUGACGGUACCGGAAGAAUAAGCACCGGCUAACUACGUG
rnacentral:rRNA from 1 species